rnacentral:rRNA from 1 species
CCUACGGGAGGCAGCAGUGAGGAAUAUUGGUCAAUGGGCGCGAGCCUGAACCAGCCAAGUCGCGUGAGGGAAGACGGCCCUACGGGUUGUAAACCUCUUUUGCCGGGGAGCAACGGGCGCCACGUGUGGCGCCACUGAGAGUACCCGGAGAAAAAGCAUCGGCAACCUCCGGGCCAGCAGCCGCGGUAAUAGGGGGGAUGCGAGCGUUAUCCGGAUUUGUUGGGUUUAAAGGGUGCGUAGGCGGAGCGUUAAGUCAGUGGUAAAAUUGAGGGGCUCAACCCCUUCCCGCCAUUGAAACUGGCGCUCUUGAGUGGAAGAGAAGUAUGCGGAAUGCGUGGUGUAGCGGUGAAAUGCAUAGAUAUCACGCAGAACCCCGAUUGCGAAGGCAGCAUGCCGGCUUCCUACUGACGCUGAAGCACGAAAGCGUGGGGAUCGAACAGGAUUAGAUACCCCUGUAGUC